CCUACGGGACGCAGCAGUCGAGAAUCAUUCACAAUGGGGGAAACCCUGAACGAGCAAUGCCGCGUGAGUGAUGAAGGCCCUCUGGGUUGUAAAACUCUGUUGUUUGGAAGGAAUUGUGAGAUUAGGAAAUGAGUCUUACUUGACGGUACCAUUCAAGAAAGCCACGGCUAACUACGUGCCAGCAGCCGCGGUAAUACGUAGGUGGCGAGCGUUAUCCGGAUUUAUUGGGCGUAAAGCGUGCGCAGGCGGUUUGUUAAGUCUAAAAUCAAAGCCCGAAGCUUAACUUCGGUUCGUUUUAGAAACUG
rnacentral:rRNA from 1 species